GAUGAACGCUGGCGGCGUGCUUAACACAUGCAAGUCGAACGGAAAGGCCCAAGCUUGCUUGGGUACUCGAGUGGCGAACGGGUGAGUAACACGUGGGUGAUCUGCCCUGCACUUCGGGAUAAGCCUGGGAAACUGGGUCUAAUACCGGAUAGGACCACUUCUUGGAUGUUGUGGUGGAAAGUUUUUUCGGUGUGGGAUGAGCUCGCGGCCUAUCAGCUUGUUGGUGGGGUAAUGGCCUACCAAGGCGUCGACGGGUAGCCGGCCUGAGAGGGUGUACGGCCACAUUGGGACUGAGAUACGGCCCAGACUCCUACGGGAGGCAGCAGUGGGGAAUAUUGCACAAGGGGCGCAAGCCUGAUGCAGCGACGCCGCGGGGGGGAUGACGGCCUUCGGGUUGUAAACUCCGUUCGCUAGGGACGAAGCGUUUUGUGACGGUACCUGGAGAAGAAGCACCGGCUAACUACGUG
rnacentral:rRNA from 1 species